GCGAACUGGUGAGUAACACGUGGGAAACCUGCCCAGAAGCGGGGGAUAACACCUGGAAACAGAUGCUAAUACCGCAUAACAACUUGGACCGCAUGGUCCGAGUUUGAAAGAUGGCUUCGGCUAUCACUUUUGGAUGGUCCCGCGGCGUAUUAGCUAGAUGGUGAGGUAACGGCUCACCAUGGCAAUGAUACGUAGCCGACCUGAGAGGGUAAUCGGCCACAUUGGGACUGAGACACGGCCCAAACUCCUACGGGAGGCAGCAGUAGGGAAUCUUCCACAAUGGACGAAAGUCUGAUGGAGCAACGCCGCGUGAGUGAAGAAGGGUUUCGGCUCGUAAAACUCUGUUGUUAAAGAAGAACAUAUCUGAGAGUAACUGUUCAGGUAUUGACGGUAUUUAACCAGAAAGCCACGGCUAACUACGUGCCAGCAGCCGCGGUAAUACGUAGGUGGCAAGCGUUGUCCGGAUUUAUUGGGCGUAAAGCGAGCGCAGGCGGUUUUUUAAGUCUGAUGUGAAAGCCUUCGGCUCAACCGAAGAAGUGCAUCGGAAACUGGGAAACUUGAGUGCAGAAGAGGACAGUGGAACUCCAUGUGUAGCGGUGAAAUGCGUAGAUAUAUGGAAGAACACCAGUGGCGAAGGCGGCUGUCUGGUCUGUAACUGACGCUGAGGCUCGAAAGUAUGGGUAGCAAACAGGAUUAGAUACCCUGGUAGUCCAUACCGUAAACGAUGAAUGCUAAGUGUUGGAGGGUUUCCGCCCUUCAGUGCUGCAGCUAACGCAUUAAGCAUUCCGCCUGGGGAGUACGGCCGCAAGGCUGAAACUCAAAGGAAUUGACGGGGGCCCGCACAAGCGGUGGAGCAUGUGGUUUAAUUCGAAGCUACGCGAAGAACCUUACCAGGUCUUGACAUACUAUGCAAAUCUAAGAGAUUAGACGUUCCCUUCGGGGACAUGGAUACAGGUGGUGCAUGGUUGUCGUCAGCUCGUGUCGUGAGAUGUUGGGUUAAGUCCCGCAACGAGCGCAACCCUUAUUAUCAGUUGCCAGCAUUAAGUUGGGCACUCUGGUGAGACUGCCGGUGACAAACCGGAGGAAGGUGGGGAUGACGUCAAAUCAUCAUGCCCCUUAUGACCUGGGCUACACACGUGCUACAAUGGAUGGUACAACGAGUUGCGAACUCGCGAGAGUAAGCUAAUCUCUUAAAGCCAUUCUCAGUUCGGAUUGUAGGCUGCAACUCGCCUACAUGAAGUCGGAAUCGCUAGUAAUCGCGGAUCAGCAUGCCGCGGUGAAUACGUUCCCGGGCCUUGUACACACCGCCCGUCACACCAUGAGAGUUUGUAACACCCAAAGUCGGUGG
rnacentral:rRNA from 2 species